rnacentral:rRNA from 1 species
GAGUGCGCGUCUGUAUCAAUACGGAUGGCGCACUGCGUACGCGUGCGUAACACGUGGGCGAUAGUGCCUCAUGAUUGAGAAUAACUCCGGGGGACAGAAGUUAGUUCCGUAUAACAUUCUCAGGACCCCGGUUUCGGGUAUCAAUGCAGUGAUGUGUCGGAGUAGGAGCCCGCGCUCGACUUGUUAGAUGAUAGGAUAACUGCAUACCAAGGGCAUGAUCGGUAGGUGGUCUGAGAGGAUGGCCAGCCACACUGCAAUUGAGACACGGUCCAGAGUCGUAUCGCGCGUCACCAGUGGGGGAUCUUGCGCAAUGUGCGAAAACCUGAUACAAACAAUCCGCGUGGGGGAUUAUGCUUCCUCGGAGUGUAAACCCCACUUCGAGUGGGAACGAAUGCCUGCACAGGGAGUGACGGUACCAGUAGAAGAAGUCCCCGGCUAACUACGUG